ensembl:lncRNA
CCCACCACAUCAACAGUCAGUCUCUGGCAGCACCUCUGCAACACAGGCAGCGCGGAGGAAGAAGGGAGAAGGGAGAGGGAUGAAGGGACAGAGGAACUGAAGGAUGGAGGGGGAUCGGAGACAAGAGGGCUCGGUCCAAAGAGGCCAGGGGCCAUCACAUGUCCAGGAACGCAGGUCCCCUUCCCAGCAGCCCUGGCACAUCUGGACUCAGCUGGCCUCACUGGCCACCUGGUCCACCUGCCACCCUCUCUGAACGCGAAGCCCUUUCACCGCGGGGCACCGCACGUGGGGGCCUCCCGUAGCCAUAUGCCACUGGACACCAGGGAUGCCCAGUGCAGGAGGGAUGUCUCUGGCCUCAGGAGUCUUGCCAGCUCCAGGGAGACCCAAGAAAACCCACCAUUCCAGCGGGGCCCUGACCAACUGUUAGCAGAGUGUAGGAAGGCAUCCGAGAAGUAGUGCCUCCCGAGCUGUGCUCAUCACCUAGUCUGAUGAGCAAAGUGAAGACAGAGUGGACGUUCCAGCAAGAGGGUACAGUGUACACCAAAGCCUGAAGCCCAGGUCGGGCCCUUGCAAGGGUCAACCACAGAUUGGCACUUGCUAUGGGUGCUUGCCAUCUACGUGUACAAGGAUUAAAUCAUGUGCCAUAGCGGCUGCUGACCUCCAACACCCCCUGAAGGAGUUCAGGGUGGAGAGCAGAAAUGAGGCACUCUGUGCUCCAAGAAAACUGGCAGGAAGGGUCUUCAGAUAGUUAGAUAAUCUCAGCUGAUUUUAUGAUCCCAGUUCUUAUAUCUUCUUACAUCUAGAAAAGCACUAAAAUCCUUCAUGGUGACGACUGUCUUUCGUGACUAGCAGAAGCUUCACGAGACCAAAAGAAACUUUCUACCAAAAAUAUGUGCUUGAUUGCAUGUACUCCCCCCUUACCAAAAUCACAUAUAUACCGUCUUUUGCCCCUAUCUCUUUGGAACAGUUUCUCAGAGCUAUCUGAGGUGCUCUGUCUCCCAGGCUGCAGUCCUCCUAUGGGUUCCAAAUAAAACUUCACGUGCAACUCUCGUGUUGUGCUUU